GUGGGCUCAGCCCGGGAGAAAGGGCCAGGGAAGUUGGUUGGUUCUGUGCUUGGUCUGUCAAUGGAGGAGAUCAAAGUUUUACGAAGGGUGAAGGAGGAGAAUGAUCGGCGAGGUGGAUUUAUUCGCAUAUUUCCUACAUCUGAGACAUGGGAAAUAUAUGGGUCCUACCUCGAGCAUAAGACCUCAAUGAACUAUAUGCUGGCAACACGCCUCUUCCAGGACAGGUA
rnacentral:lncRNA from 1 species